GAACAAGCAGUAGUUUGCCAUUUGGAAAUGAAUUUUGUCAUGUAAACAAUAACUGUUGUGAAGGUACAUAGUCAUGUGGAAGGAAACAAGGAGCUUCUACCACUAAUUAAGUAGAGUACUGGGCGGGCAUCACCAUGACCACGAUAGUAUGGGCCAGAUUUACUGUGGGAAGGAGGACGUUUGGUCGGGCCAGUGCCACCAUGCUCUCGGCAUCUAGGAGAGCUCUGGGGGUUAAUCAAUGGGCCUGCUUAUGGAAGUCGCCAGCGGCAGCAAGGGGAGAUCGACCACAGCGGACACGAUUGCAGCACCAGAACUCGACUCUGAGCAACCCAGUCAUCAUCAGUGACAACCAUUUCAUGGUCUCAGGAGGGUUUAGUAGUCCAAUGACAUGCAGAAUAAAACCAUUCUAUCUAUUUGAUCCAAACUACGGUCUAUGCUUCAGAUAAGUUGUAUAUGUAUCGUAUGUUACUUUUUAAAAUGGUUUGGUUUACUGAAUUUUACUGUAUGAGCUUCCGAGCCAACUGAAAAGCUUUUGGUUAAUUGCAAAUAUUAUACAUAUAUAGAUGGUCUGUUGCUAUUAGCUUAGUUUGUUUGUGCCAGCAUGCGAAGAUGUUGCUUAAAUCAUGCACAACAAGUAAAACUCAACGCCAACAGGAAUCUUUGUCUCCCACGAGUCUCAGUCCUUUCAGGUGUUUGACCUUGCUGUGACAUUGAGACCCUGUUCGGAUCAAUUCCAAAAUGUAAUCUGCUGGUUCAACUGCUGGUGAUGAUGGUUAGAGAUUCCACAGAAAUCUGAGAAACAUUCAAUCACUUGCUUUUGAGAUACUGUACUAAUAAGACCCUCAAACAAACAAGCUGAUCAUACAAUGCAAAAAAUUAAUAGAAAAAUAUGAUUAUAUGGAGGGGGGCACGGUGGCUUAGUGGUUAGCACG